CCCUUAGAUGUUCUGGGCCGCACGCGUGCUACACUGAGCAAUUCAAUGGGUAAGGGAACGCUAGAGCAUUACCUAAUCUUGAAAUUUGCUCGUGAUGGGGAUCGACGGUUGCAAUUUUCCGUCGUGAACGAGGAAUACCUUGUAGGCGCAUGUCAUCAUCAUGCGCCGAAUACGUCCCUGCCCUUUGUACACACCGCCCGUCGCUCCUACCGAUUGAGUGAUCCGGUGAGGCUCUGGGACCUGGACGGAAAGAGCGUUUCGCUUGUUCUGUUUGGGAAACUUGGUCGAACCUUAUCAUUUAGAGGAAGGAGAAGUCGUAACA
rnacentral:rRNA from 1 species